UACGUAGGGGGCAAGCGUUGUCCGGAAUCAUUGGGCGUAAAGCGCGUGUAGGCGGCUCGGUAAGUCUGCUGUGAAAGUCCAGGGCUCAACCCUGGGAUGCCGGUGGAUACUGUCGAGCUCGAGUCCGGAAGAGGCGAGUGGAAUUCCUGGUGUAGCGGUGAAAUGCGCAGAUAUCAGGAGGAACACCAAUGGCGAAGGCAGCUCGCUGGACGUGACUGACGCUGAGACGCGAAAGCGUGGGGAGCAAACAGG
rnacentral:rRNA from 1 species